GAAGUCGUAGCUCAGUGGUAGAGCGCUUGCCUAGCAUGUGUGAGGCACUGGGUUCAAUUCUCAGCACUGCA
rnacentral:tRNA from 1 species